rnacentral:tRNA from 1 species
GGUGCCUUGGCCGAGUGGUUAGGCAGUAGAUUGCAAAUCUGCGUACAUCGGUUCGAUUCCGGUAGGCACCUCCA